rnacentral:rRNA from 1 species
UACAGGGGGUGCAAACGUUGCUCGGAAUCACUGGGCGUAAAGCGCACGUAGGCGGCUUUUUAAGUCAGGGGUGAAAUCCUGGAGCUCAACUCCAGAACUGCCUUUGAUACUGAGAAGCUUGAGUCCGGGAGAGGUGAGUGGAACUGCGAGUGUAGAGGUGAAAUUCGUAGAUAUUCGCAAGAACACCAGUGGCGAAGGCGGCUCACUGGCCCGGUACUGACGCUGAGAUGCGAAAGCGUGGGGAGCAAACAGG